CGCUUAUGCAUGCAAGUCGAGCAAAGCUUUUCAGUAGUUUACUACAGAAAAUGACUGAGCGGCGAACGGGUGAGUAACGCGUGAGCAAUCUACCUUAGUUACAGGGAUAGCCCGAGGAAACUCGGAUUAAUACCUGAUAUUCUUUAUUUCUCGCAUGAGAAUAAAAGGAAAGGUCAGCCGAACUAAGAUGAGCUCGCGUUCUAUCAGCUAGUUGGUGAGGUAAAAGCUUACCAAGGCUACGACGGAUAGCUGGUCUGAGAGGACGAUCAGCCACACUGGGACUGAGACACGGCCCAGACUCCUACGGGAGGCUGCAGCAGGGAAUAUUGUGCAAUGAACGAAAGUUUGACACAGCGACACCGCGUGUGGGAUGACGGAUCUAGGUUUGUAAACCACUUUCAGGAGGGAAGAAAAUGACGGUACCUCCACAAGAAGCCCCGGCCAACUACGUGCCAGCAGCCGCGGUAAUACGUAGGGGGCGAGCGUUGCCCGGAUUUAUUGGGCGUAAAGAGCUCGUAGGCGGUUCAACAAGUCGGUCGUGAAAGUUCAGGGCUCAACCCUGAAAUGUCGAUCGAUACUGUUGUGACUAGGAUACGGUAGAGGUGAGUGGAAUUCCGAGUGUAGCGGUGAAAUGCGUAGAUAUUCGGAGGAACACCAAUUGCGAAGGCAGCUCACUGGGCCGCUAUCGACGCUGAGGAGCGAAAGCUAGGGGAGCAGACAGGAUUAGAUACCCUGGUAGUCCUAGCUGUAAACGAUGGAUACUAGAUGUAGGAACUGGAUUGACGGUUUCUGUAUCGCAGCUAACGCGUUAAGUAUCC
rnacentral:rRNA from 1 species